rnacentral:lncRNA from 1 species
GCUGUGAUACAGAUUAAUUGAUGGUGAAUCAGCUGUUGGGAAAACAAGCUCAGGGCUCCCACUGAUUGUACAUUAUGACCAAGUGUGUUGGGGACUUGAGAUGCGUACAUGAGUGUGAUGUUUCCUGCUGAAAGCACAGGUGAGACGUGGUCUUGUAACACAGUGGUUAAGAAUGUGACUUUGGAGCCAGCCUGCUAGGGGCUGAAUUCUGACUCAGCCAUUUACUAACUGUGUGACCUUAGGGAGGAGGACCUGGUUGAUAGAAGAAUUUAUCUCGUAGUCUUAACAUCCACUGUAAUUCCAAACUUUGAGGACGAUAGAGAUCAGUGGGCUUUGACUGCCCAGCAUGCAGUCUCCAUUCUUAGGUGGGUUCCCAAGCCUGUAAAAUGUAAGCCUUAUGCUGCUGAGGGCCAUCUUGCCACCCUGAGGGAAACGCUGCCUGAGAAUGAAACAAGCAUAAGUAAAAGCUGAGCUGUGAGAUGGAGCAAGAUGAAGGCCACAUGACAUCUUUGGAGCACCUGGAUCUAACUGUGCCUUAAGCUAGUCUAACCCUGAACAUUUCAUCAUUUCAUUGACAUGAGCCCAGGUUUUCUUUUUUU